rnacentral:rRNA from 1 species
UACAGAGGGUGCGAGCGUUGUCCGGAAUCACUUGGCGGUUAAAGGGCGCGUAGGUGGCGCGACAAGUCAGUGGAUGGAAAGUUCGACGCCCUCAACCGUCGAAAUCGGCCACGUGAUACUGUUGGGCUUGAGCACUGUAGAGGCUAAUGGAAUUCCGGGUGUAGCGGUGGAAAUGCGUAGAGAUCCGGAAGAACACCGGUGGCGAAGGCGGCGAUCUGGG